UACGGAGGGUGCGAGCGUUGUCCGGAAUCACUGGGCGUAAAGAGCUCGUAGGCGGUUCAGUAAGUCGGGUGUGAAAACUCAGGGCUCAACCCUGAGCUGCCACCCGAUACUGCUGUGACUUGAGUCUGGUAGGGGAGUGGGGAAUUCCUGGUGUAGCGGUGAAAUGCGCAGAUAUCAGGAGGAACACCGGUGGCGAAGGCGCCACUCUGGGCCACGACUGACGCUGAGGAGCGAAAGCAUGGGUAGCAAACAGG
rnacentral:rRNA from 1 species